rnacentral:rRNA from 1 species
UACGUAGGGUGCGAGCGUUAAUCGGAAUUACUGGGCGUAAAGCGUGCGCAGGCGGUUCGUUGUGUCGGCGGUGAAAGCCCCGGGCUUAACCUGGGAAUGGCUGUUGAAACUGGCGAACUGGAGUGUGGCAGAGGGGGGUGGAAUUCCGGGUGGAGGGGUGAAAUGCGUAGAGAUCCGGAGGAACACCAAAGGCGAAGGCGACUUACUGGACUGUAACUGACGCUGAGGCAUGAAAGCGUGGGGAGCAAACAGG